CCUUUCUUCUUCAUCUUUGUUCUUGCCUUUCUUCUAUCUAGAUUGUUCUCAGUCCUGUGGAAAUUUUAUCCAAAGUCCUCACAACGGCCUCAGGGUGGCCUACAAGGUCUUACACACUAGAGUUUCUAUUUCCUGGGACCUCAUCUCCAGUGCUUUCUCUCUCUCAUUCUAGUCAGACUGUUUUUCCAAGACACCAUUCACAAGCCACAAGCUUUGUGAUGUCACAGAGACAUCAGGUCUUUGCAUUUGCUGUUCCCCCUUCCUAGGGCACUCCCUCCAGAUACCAGCAUGGUUCACAGUCAUCAGCUUUUUAAAGUAUUUGCUCAAGUGUCACUUUCUCGGUUUUUCAGCACUGUGUUGAAUAAGAAUGAUGAGCAUAGACAUCCUCUACCCAAUCUUCGAGGAAAAGCAGCUUAGUUUUUAACCAUUAAAUAUAAUGUUAGAUGUAGAUAUUU